GACGAACGCUGGCGGCGUGCCUAAUACAUGCAAGUAGAACGCACAGUUUAUACCGUAGCUUGCUACACCAUAGACUGUGAGUUGCGAACGGGUGAGUAACGCGUAGGUAACCUGCCUGGUAGCGGGGGAUAACUAUUGGAAACGAUAGCUAAUACCGCAUAAUAUUGAUUAUUGCAUGAUAAUUGAUCGAAAGAUGCUAUUGCAUCACUACCAGAUGGACCUGCGUUGUAUUAGCUAGUAGGUGAGGUAACGGCUCACCUAGGCGACGAUACAUAGCCGACCUGAGAGGGUGAUCGGCCACACUGGGACUGAGACACGGCCCAGACUCCUACGGGAGGCAGCAGUAGGGAAUCUUCGGCAAUGGACGAAAGUCUGACCGAGCAACGCCGCGUGAGUGAAGAAGGUUUUCGGAUCGUAAAGCUCUGUUGUAAGAGAAGAACGGGUGUGAGAGUGGAAAGUUCACACUGUGACGGUAUCUUACCAGAAAGGGACGGCUAACUACGUGC
rnacentral:rRNA from 1 species